UUUGUUUUGCUGGCCUUGGACUGUGUUUAUGGUUAACAUGUUAAAGGCAUAUUGUCUGAUUUAUGUGAUUAAUAACACAGAUUGUUAGAUUUCUUUGUAGCUUACAUUACAGCAGGUGUUGAUUUCUCAUUCUUUGCACUUGAGCUGUAUCUUACACACAAAGGCUAUUGUAAUUCAAAGGCUAACAUCCUACCUACUGUUGUUGCAUAAAAUUGAUGGAAGUUACAUUGUUACUUGAACUAGUUCGAGAAAAUUAAGGCAACAAAGCCUUUUCGGCACCCUCUCCUGUUUCUGAUGUAAGCUGAUCACUAGAAAACCCAGCAUCAAUUCCACCAAUCAGCAACUGUUGCUUGCUCGGAGCCUUGAUUAUCAAUUGGUGAACUUUUCUUGUAGUUUCCAGGUUCAUGACUGUCAAGGUACUAGUUGUGGAACAUUAGAGCAGUUGAACUUGCAGUCAAGUUUUGGUUGUAAUUUUUCUGGCACUCCAAGGUCUCUUCAUUACACAAGAUUGGAAGGUACAUUUACCAAUGGAACUGGGAAGACAGCAUUGAUUGAUAACUCAAUUCAUACAAGUAAUGGCUCUUUUGCUGCUUCUAUCAAGAGAAUUUUAGGAGGUUUUGUUAGCUCAAUUAUUCCUAUUUUGUAAAAGUAUAGAAAAAGUAUACUGCAAGUUUUGACAGAAGGAUAA